rnacentral:rRNA from 1 species
GUCGAGCGGACCGACGGGAGCUUGCUCCCUUAGGUCAGCGGCGGACGGGUGAGUAACACGUGGGUAACCUGCCUGUAAGACUGGGAUAACUCCGGGAAACCGGGGCUAAUACCGGAUGCUUGAUUGAACCGCAUGGUUCMAAUCAUAAAAGGUGGCUUUUAGCUACCACUUACAGAUGGACCCGCGGCGCAUUAGCUAGUUGGUGAGGUAACGGCUCACCAAGGCGACGAUGCGUAGCCGACCUGAGAGGGUGAUCGGCCACACUGGGACUGAGACACGGCCCAGACUCCUACGGGAGGCAGCAGUAGGGAAUCUUCCGCAAUGGACGAAAGUCUGACGGAACAACGCCGCGUGAGUGAUGAAGGUUUUCGGAUCGUAAAACUCUGUUGUUAGGGAAGAACAAGUACCGUUCGAAUAGGGCGGUACCUUGACGGUACCUAACCAGAAAGCCACGGCUAACUACGUGCCAGCAGCCGCGGUAAUACGUAGGUGGCAAGCGUUGUCCGGAAUUAUUGGGCGUAAAGCGCGCGCAGGCGGUUUCUUAAGUCUGAUGUGAAAGCCCCCGGCUCAACCGGGGAGGGUCAUUGGAAACUGGGGAACUUGAGUGCAGAAGAGGAGAGUGGAAUUCCACGUGUAGCGGUGAAAUGCGUAGAGAUGUGGAGGAACACCAGUGGCGAAGGCGACUCUCUGGUCUGUAACUGACGCUGAGGCGCGAAAGCGUGGGGAGCGAACAGGAUUAGAUACCCUGGUAGUCCACGCCCGUAACGAUGAGUGCUAAGUGUUAGAGGGUUUCCGCCCUUUAGUGCUGCAGCAACGCAUUAAGCACUCCGCCUGGGGAGUACGGUCGCAAGACUGAACUCAAAGGAAUUGACGGGGCCCGCACAGCGGUGGAGCAUGUGGUUA